rnacentral:rRNA from 1 species
GGGGGAUAAGCUUCGUCGUCGAGAGGGAAACAGCCCAGAUCAGCAGCUAAGGUGCCUAAAUUGUGCUCAGUGGAAAGGAGGUGAGGUUUCAUAGACAGUGAGGAUGUUGGCUUAGAAGCAGCCACCAUUUAAAAAAUGCGUAAUAGCUUACUCAUCGAGAGACCUUGCGCCGAAAAUACUUGGCGAUAAGCACAAUACCGAAGCUCUGGGUGUCCUAGUUUACUAGGGCGCGGUAGAGGAGCAUUCUCUGUGCAGUGAAGGGUGAUGGCGACUGACCCUGGAGCGCAGAGAAGUGAGAAUGCAGACAUGAGUAACGAUAAGAGCGGUGAAAUCCCGCUCCGCCGUAAAUCCAAGGUUUCCCGGGCAACGUUUUUCGUCCCGGGGUUAGUCGGGACCUAACCCGAGGCCGAUGGGCGUAGGGGAUGGUAAGCAGGUUAAUAUUCCUGCACCCAGUAAGGAGGACGCAUAAUGAAAAGCUACUAGGUUAUUGAAUUCCGAGGCGAGGCUUAGGCCGGACCGUAUAGCUGGACAGAGUGCCAAGAAAAGCCCUUACAUUAAUGGCCCGUACCGUAAACCGACACAGGUGGAUGGGUAGAAUAUACCAAGGCGCAAGAGUGAAACCUGGUCAAGGAACUCGGCAAAAUAGCCCCGUAACUUCGGAAGAAGGGGUGCCCCCUCUGGGGGGCCGCAGUGAAAUGGCCCAACCGACUGUUUAGCAAAAACACAGCAUUGUGCUAAGGCGUAAGCCGACGUAUACGAUGUGACACGUGACCAAUGCCAAAAGAUUACGGUAAGAUGUUAGCACUUUAGUGCGAAGCUUCGAGCCCAAGUCCUGGUGAAUGUCGGCCGUAACUAUAACGGUCCUAAGGUAGCGAAAUUCCUUGUCGGGUAAGUUCCGACCUGCACGAAUCGUGCAACGAGUUGGGCGCUGUCUCGACCAGGUGCUCAGUGAAAUUGUAGUUCCGGUGAAGAUGCCGGACACCCGCAGAAGGACGGAAAGACCCUAUAGACCUUAACUGUAAGCUGUUAUUGGUUGUUCGAUCUUAAUGCUCAGCAUAAGUGGGAGACAUUGAAGGGUGCGUUUAGGCGCAUCUGGAGUCAUCAGUGAGAUACCACCCUUUAAUAUUGGAUAAUCUAACCCCGAGCCGUCAUCCGGCCGUGGGGACAAUGGCAGCCGGUCAGUUUUACUGGGGCGGUAUCCUCCUAAAGAGUAACGGAGGAGCGCGAAGGUGGGCUCAGCACAGUUGGCAACUGUGUGUUGAGUGUAAAGGCACAAGCCCGCCUAACUGUGAGACCUACAAGUCGAGCAGAUACGAAAGUAGGCCUUAGUGAUCCGGCGGUAGAAUGUGGAAUUGCCGUCGCUCAACGGAUAAAAGGUACCUUAGGGAUAACAGGCUUAUCACGCCCAAGAGUUCAUAUCGACGGCGUGGUUUGGCACCUCGAUGUCGGCUCGUCGCAUCCUGGGGCUGGAGAAGGUCCCAAGGGUCCGGCUGUUCGCCGGUUAAAGCGGCACGCGAGCUGGGUUCAGAACGUCGCGAGACAGUUCGGUCCUCUAUCCUCUGUGGGCGUAGGAAAAUUGAAGGGUUCAGACCUUAGUACGAGAGGACCGGGUUUGACGCACCUCUGGUGUUCCAGUUGUUCUGUCAAGGGCACUGCUGGGUAGCUAAGUGCGGAACGGAUAAGCGCUGAAAGCAUCUAAGCGCCAAGCCAUUCCUGAGAUAAAUUUUCCCUGAAGGAUCGUGGAAGACGACCACGUUGAUAGGCUGGGGGUAGAAGUGCAGCAAUGUAUGUAGCUCACCAGUACUAAUCAUCCGUUCGACUUAAUUCC